rnacentral:lncRNA from 1 species
AAGAUGUCUAACGUGUACUAGGCAACUCAAUAUUUCUUCCUUAUCUUUUUCCCCCCACUGAGGAGCUUAAGACCCAAUUAGGAAGAUAAGCUAUUAAUCUACAAAGAGGCAAUGAAAAAUCCAAGAGUAAAGCCACAAUUCCGAUGUCCUGAGGUGGCUUGAGAAGAGGAUGUCUGAGUUAUUUCAGCUCUGAAUGCUGGUGAUUCCAUGUGAGGAGCUUCACCAGCCAGCACAUGCUGAAUUGGCAAUGGGUACCUGCAGAGAUGUUUUGAAAUUUUAUUAUAGGAUCUGAAGAGAUGACUUGCUGGUUAAGAGCACUUACUGUUCUUGUAGAAGAUGUGGAUUGAUUUCCAGCACCCACAUGAUUGCUUAGAACGAUCAGUAACUCCAGUUCCAGGGGAUCUGAUGUCUUCAUCUGACUACAGAG